AGAGCAGCUAUUUUUUUAGGUAAAAUUACGGUUAGAGCAUUAAGCAGCAAAUUUCUCUCCCUCUCCCACACGUUCUCUAUCAUCCUCUCUCACACGUUUUCUCACAAUCACUAAAGCAACAAAAUAUGGAUUUAGCGAAAUCUCUGCUGCAUUCGCUUUCAGAAUUCGCUGCCGCAGUCAGUUGCAUCAGCACAAAGACGUGGAAGAAGUCUUCCCGUCAGGUGAUUGAGGUGCAUUAUUAUCCAAAGAUGACUAUUCCACGUCCACAAGAAGGUAAUAGAAUAGAUCUGCUAGGUAUAUAUUGAGUCAAAGCCUUCUCUCAAUCAUGUUGAUAUCAAUUUUGUUACAAAAAAGUUCACUCUUGAUUCUUCAUGUCAGUGGUGCGUGAAUAUUUUUUCCAUUUCUUUGGGACUUUUUUGAGGAAUUUGCAGGAAUUGCUGCAUCUUUUGUAAAAUCUCGAUAAAAAUUGAGAUGAGUGAUAUAUAGAUUAUCAUGGGCAUCGAUUUUAAUGUGCGCAGGUUGUAGAAAAAGCUUAUGGCUCUAAUGGUAUCCCUAAUAUGGAGAAAGUAAUAUGUAGAAGUGUACUGUUUACAAUUUAAAUGAUUCUAGAAGUUAGGGAAAAAAGACAAAUUUUGAUCAUAUCAUUGUUUAUUGAUCAUUAACUUUUUUUUAUCUAUUACUAUAUGUAUUAUGCUUAUCUUGCAAGCAAAAUCUGUAUUGACGUGUUUUGCUAUGCUCCCUCGAUGAUGUGAUUAGUCAAUAGUUGUUAUUGUGCUGUUAAUUGGAGCUUUUUCUUUCAACAAGUUAUAGAUUUUAAAGAUUUUUUUUCUAAUAAUGUUUUCGCACAUGGUGCCUCAUAUAUGACUGAAGUAACAGAAUUAUGUGUAUCUAAAUUUGAACGAAUAAGACUUAAAGAACAUAUUAUAAUUUUAUGGAGCCUUAACAUUACUCUGUUGGGUUGUCAUUCUGUUACGCCGCAGAUGGACUACGACCGUGUCGACGAUAGGAGAUAGAUAGAGAUGCGAUAUUUUUUUAGUUUAGUUAUGUUAUUUUUGGAUGUUGCUCUACAAGGGAUAAUUGACAGAUUUUAUGGAAAAUUUGUUUUUUCCUUUUCUUUUAUUUUCUUUUUUGUGUGCUUGAAUUUGAGAUUUCAUGGAUGUUAUACAAGAUUUUAAUAUCACAACUUAUUUCGUAUGAUUAUAAGAUACCUUUAACCUUAUAGGAUAAGUAUUGGACUAGAUUUGAAAUUUUAGGAUAUCUAGGUAGCCGUUGAUAAGGUGUAUCUCAUCUUAUUUUUUUUUAUUUUUUUUAAUGUUAUGCAACCUUUUAUUUUCACUUUAUUCUUGAAUUUAAACUAUGACUUGCAUCUUUUAUUAUUGUUUCAGUGUAGGCAACAACAACGACAACGAUUAUUAGCCAGGUGCAAUCUGCCUCCUUACUCUCGCUUUCUCAUAUAAAUUUUCUCUUCUUUUUUUCAUAUCUUAGUUGAUUAAUUGCAGAAUUUGACUAAGUUUAGCAGAAGAAGGAAAAAAAGAAGAAGAAUCCCAGCUAAUAUACUCUAACAACAAUGAAUACAAUAUGAUCCAGUAAAACUUUGGAUUCACUUGAAUAAUAUUUAAUUUUGUAGGUCGUUGCUGUGCUAGAAACAAAUGGGCUACAAAUUUUCAUUCGUCUCAUGUGCUUAGAUUAGGUUUGGGCACAUCCUGUGUAUUCAAUAUAUUAAAUGAUAGGUAUUUAGUUUGUGUAUUCAUUGUAAGUUAUGCUAUGGGAUAGUUCUAAAUUCUUUAAUCUACACCAUGAAUAUGUGAUUUUUUGGACAUUUUUCUAAAGUUAAAAUUAUCACAAAUGAAAUGAUCAUAGUGAUACUACUGAAAAAGGGAGAUUUAUAUGUCUUAUGUUGGACAAGAAAGACUAAUAUGGUGUAAUUAAAAGUUUAUUCCAAGCUACUUGGAG
rnacentral:lncRNA from 1 species